rnacentral:misc_RNA from 1 species
GUAGGUGAACCUGCGGAAGGAUCAUUACCACAAUUACGGGGGGCCGGCCUUAAAGUUCAAGGCUUCACUGUCUUGUUCUUUUCCCCGCCCUGUCUGAAUAUACCCUUGUCUUUUGCGUACAAUUUGUUUCCUUGGGGGGCUUGCUCCCCAACUGGACAUCAAUACAACCCUUUGUAAUUGCAGUCAGCGUCAAAAAAACAAAUAAUAAUUACGACUUUCAACAACGGAUCUCUUGGUUCUG